UAGAGAGUGUGUGAGAGAGAUGGAGAGUGUGUGUGUGUGAAUGUGCAUGCAUUGUCUGUCAAGGUUGGCGGAGGAGGUGUAGUCGUGUGUACGUUCCGUACCAUCAGUCUGUCAGUACACGUUGCUAAGUAGUUAAGUGACUUUCAACCACUUCUCCGCUGCCGCACUCAAGGUGGAGCCGGAUCCAUCCGCCAGUUCCAGCCUCAAAUCAUUGAGGUAGGGCCUCCUUAAACGAAUUACAUUCUCCUCAAUAUCGUUUAAAUACUGGUUGUGUCUAGCCUUGUACCGUAAAUGUACUUACAAAAAAACUUCUUUCCUCUCUUUUUUGAAGCUAUCCAGACCCAGGCUGAAAUUCAAUUUGAAACCAUUUCCGUCACUAUAAAGUAGUGGAGGGCUCUCUAACCCUGGGAUUAAAUUACUGCUGGUUGAACUCAGUUUAAUACCAGCUGUGGUUACCUUGAGAAAGAAAGGAAAGACAGAAGGCAUUUUGGGUGUGUUGGGACAGGUACUCCACUAUAGGAAGUCUACCAUGGUUGGCCAUUUUGGUCUAACUGUUUGUUGUCAUCUUCAGGACCCGAUUUCUCUAAAAUCACCACCAUCCAUGGCGACCCAGAGCUGAUCGAUGCAGAGUCACAGAGGAUCACUAAACUCAUCCAAGAUGGAGGGAAGCCGGCUCAAUCCAGGAGAGCCCCAGCAGGUGUGAAGAAGAGGAGAACCAGGCUGGUGAGGCGCCACAACAAUUCCAGACAGUGAACCCAGCCACUCGUAAUCACCUUCAAGCUCACCUCAGAGACCCGAGGAAAGUCCAGGAGCAAGCAAGAUACCGAACGACCAAUUAACACUCUCGACACACCUAUAGCAAGUUACUGGGCCAAUGGAAAAUUCAGACCCAUCUUAACACCAUGGCCAAUCUUCCACCAUUUCGUUUGUUUGUUUAGUUUAGUUUUCGUAGACAAAGCGGAGGCAUCGCGCACUUUAGGUUCAUUUAAAAGAUGUGCGUUGGCCAAAAGUUGAACAGUUUCCAACUUGAGGCUUUAGAAUCAUUACAGUGAGACCUUGGCUAACAGCCAUGUCUGGGUAAAAUAACAGUUUGUCACGGGAGUUGGUGGCGGUUGCAGACAAGUGAUGUGUUUCAGCAAUGCAAUAGGAUGGAAAAGGAUUCACAUGUAAGUAAGUAUGUACGCGAGGAUAAUGGGAAUUGUUGGAUGUGGACAGAAGUGUGAGAUAUUUUGAACGUGGAGGGAAUUAUGUUGUUUGUUUAUUGUUUUGUUUUUUCAUAUCUUGUCACUGUGUAAAAAAAAUGACUUGAUUGAAUACUUUUCUAAUGGCUUUUUUUUAUGGUGCUGGCAUCCUUUACUAUAUCUCAACUCAUAGGAAUUAAGCAAUGCUUUGCUGAUCUGCAAUGCUAUUCCGCAAUGCUGUUCCAGUUUUUUUUUACAGUUCUUUGGUUUUCCUACUGUAUGUCGAUAAAUAAUUAUGAUUCUCACUCCUUUUGUUUUGGGAAGCCUUGUUUGUUUCUGUGUGUGUGCCUUCAGAACACUGACUCUGUCGUCGGGUUGGGAACCUUUUAUAUGCUCAUGUUUAAUCACGUUUCUCAACACCUUCUUACCUCUGCCUGUUUUGGAAAUACGUGUUCAAUAAAACGUUAUGAUCGAA